rnacentral:rRNA from 1 species
GGAACCUACGGGGCGCAGCAGUAGGGAAUCUUCCACAAUGGGCGAAAGCCUGAUGGAGCAACGCCGCGUGGGUGAAGAAGGUCUUCGGAUCGUAAAACCCUGUUGUUAGAGAAGAAAGUGCGUGAGAGUAACUGUUCACGUUUCGACGGAAUCUAACCAGAAAGCCACGGCUAACUACGUGCCAGCAGCAGCGGUAAUACGUAGGUGGCAAGCGUUAUCCGGAUUUAUUGGGCGUAAAGGGAACGCAGGCGGUAUUUUAAUGAU